rnacentral:rRNA from 1 species
AUUGAACGCUGGCGGCAGGCCUAACACAUGCAAGUCGAGCGGGGUGUGGGGACCUAGCGGCGGACGGGUGAGUAAUGCGUAGGAAGCUGCCCGAUAGAGGGGGAUACCAGUUGGAAACGACUGUUAAUACCGCAUAAUGUCUACGGACCAAAGUGUGGGACCUUCGGGCCACAUGCUAUCGGAUGCGCCUACGUGGGAUUAGCUAGUUGGUGAGGUAAUGGCUCACCAAGGCGACGAUCGCUAGCUGGUUUGAGAGGAUGAUCAGCCACACUGGAACUGAGACACGGUCCAGACUCCUACGGGAGGCAGCAGUGGGGAAUAUUGGACAAUGGGCGCAAGCCUGAUCCAGCCAUGCCGCGUGUGUGAAGAAGGCCUUCGGGUUGUAAAGCACUUUCAGCGAGGAGGAAGGGUGGUGUGUUAAUAGCACAUCAUUUUGACGUUACUCGCAGAAGAAGCACCGGCUAACUCUGUGCCAGCAGCCGCAGUAAUAC